AGUGAACGCUGGCGGUAGGCCUAACACAUGCAAGUCGAACGGCAGCACAGUAAGAGCUUGCUCUUACGGGUUGCGAGUGGCGGACGGGUGAGGAAUACAUCGGAAUCUACUUUUUCGUGGGGGAUAACGUAGGGAAACUUACGCUAAUACCGCAUACGACCUACGGGUGAAAGCAGGGGAUCUUCGGACCUUGCGCGAUUGAAUGAGCCGAUGUCGGAUUAGCUAGUUGGCGGGGUAAAGGCCCACCAAGGCGACGAUCCGUAGCUGGUCUGAGAGGAUGAUCAGCCACACUGGAACUGAGACACGGUCCAGACUCCUACGAGAGGCAGCAGUGGGGAAUAUUGGACAAAGGGCGCAAGCCUGAUCCAGCCAUACCGCGUGGGUGAAGAAGGCCUUCGGGUUGUAAAGCCCUUUUGUUGGGAAAGAAAAGCAGCAGGUUAAUACCCCGCUGUUCUGACGGUACCCAAAGAAUAAGCACCGGCUAACUUCGUG
rnacentral:rRNA from 1 species